AAUUUUGGACAAUGGGGGAAACCCUGAUCCAGCCAUCCCGCGUGUAUGAUGAAGGCUUCCGGGUUGUAAAGUACUUUUGGCAGAGAAGAAAAGGUAUCUCCUAAUACGAGAUACUGCUGACGGUAUCUGCAGAAUAAGCCCCGGCUAACUACGUCCCAGCACCCGCGGUAAUACGUAGGGUGCAAGCGUUAACCGGAAUUACUGGGCGUAAAGCGUGUGUAGGCGGUUCGGAAAGAAAGAUGUGAAGUCCCAGGGCUCGACCUUGGAACUGCAUUUUUAACUGCCGAGCUAGGGUAUGUCAGAGGGGAGUAGAAUUCCACGUGUAGCAGUGAAAUGCGUAGAUAUGUGGAGGAAUACCGAUGGCGAAGGCAGCCCCCUGGGAUAAUACUGACGCUCAGACACGAAGGCGUGGGGAGCAAACAG
rnacentral:rRNA from 1 species